UGACCGGCAACGUCGCUAUGGAGAUUUCCCGUCCUCCCGCCAAGCGUCAUUCUUUCUGAGUAUACCAAAAGGGAUAAAGCGAGUUUACAGCAGCGCAGUUUCAAUUCGAUCUCGAACGAGUGAACGUCCAAAAGCUAUAGACAACAAGUGUAUUUUUAUUGAGUGCACUUUCAACUCUUCAGGCACAAAUUCUUUAUCACAACUACCAACACCGAUACUGUUUAAGGGAAGUCUGCGCAAGCGUCAUGCGUCAUCUACUUGCUGAAGGGUUUCGUAUUACGGAAUAACGGCGCCGAGUCUCCAAAGCUCGAUACUUCUGUCUGGUUUUUUUAUGAAAUAAGAAUUUCCAAACAAAAUGGGCCAUCGAAGACACGAAGAUCCGUUUGAUAACAUGGUGCGACACAUGUGCAAGAAUGAUGCUCUGGUACAUAAUGUGGAACAGGUGUCACAAUUGAAUAGUACACAAUGCGAUCCGGUUGUUGUGCAAAUGGCUACUGAACUUUCAAGAGAACUUAACAAAGCUAAAGAACGGAGAGCGGUAACCAAGAGAUUUAUAUACUUAUUUCUACUGAUUUAUUUUAUUUACUUAACCCUGGUAGAAAUGAGUCUAAGAACAGGCUAGUAACUGGCCAGUUCUUAGGGUCAUUUCUACCAGGGUAAGAAUUAAAAGGAAAUAAAAUCGAUCACGACUCGUAAAAAAUCUUACAAAUAAUAUCUGAAAUAUCUGAAAUGAUAUGAAUUUUAGUAUUCUACAAAAAAUUAUUUUUAUAAUAUACUAAAUUGUAAGUGGUCAAUUGGCAUGCAUGAAUAUCGAUUUCAGUUUAUAUGCUAUUUGAAUAAUUCUACAAAUUUGCUAAAUUAUUUCUAUAUGAUACGAAUAAAUGUUUAUUAUGCCUGUCUAAAAUUUAGUAACUAUCAUAGAAUUGACAUUUCUAGCUAUCCUUUGUCAAAUACAUUUUACAUACUUGCAUAGGAAUUCUCGAUGCCUUACGUUCGAGCAAUAUCGAGCAUUAGAGUUUACGUUCUGUUUGACUCAACAGUUUAAAUUACUAUUAUAUGUGAACUUGUGUCUGCGCAUAUACGAAAAAGACUAUGCGUUUGGAAAAAUCGAUGAAAAGAAGUCCAAGAAUGAAGUUGUGAUACACAAUCUGGAGCUGAUGACAAUGAAUAGAGGGCAAUAUUAUCCAGUUGCUGUGCAGGUGACUAUACUGAAUUUUCAAAGGUACUUUUUAAAAAACAUUGAAGGUUAAUUUUUGUACACACUUUAAUUUAAAAGUAGAUUAUUCUAAUUUACUUUUUUUCUCUACUACUACAAACGUUUCAAUUUGCUUAAGCGACAUAAACACAAAUACUAUAUUUUAAAAAUAAGUGAUACAUGAAAGUAAAUUGUGUAGUCAAAGCUAGGUAAUAAUAAAAUUCCAAACAUGAUUAAA